rnacentral:rRNA from 1 species
GAUGAACGCUGGCGGCGUGCCUAAUACAUGCCAGUCGAGCGAACAGACGAGGAGCUUGCUCCUCUGACGUUAGCGGCGGACGGGUGAGUAACACGUGGAUAACCUACCUAUAAGACUGGGAUAACUUCGGGAAACCGGAGCUAAUACCGGAUAAUAUAUUGAACCGCAUGGUUCAAUAGUGAAAGACGGUUUUGCUGUCACUUAUAGAUGGAUCCGCGCCGCAUUAGCUAGUUGGUAAGGUAACGGCUUACCAAGGCAACGAUGCGUAACCGACCUGAGAGGGUGAUCGGCCACACUGGAACUGAGACACGGUCCAGACUCCUACGGGAGGCAGCAGUAGGGAAUCUUCCGCAAUAGGCGAAAGCCUGACGGAGCAACGCCGCGUGAGUGAUGAAGGUCUUCGGAUCGUAAAACUCUGUUAUUAGGGAAGAACAAAUGUGUAAGUAACUAUGCACGUCUUGACGGUACCUAAUCAGAAAGCCACGGCUAACUACGUG